GUGUUAUUCAAUAUAAUAUCAUUGCAAAAACCAUGUUAAGCUAGAGAAACUGCAUUGUUUUUUACCCAAACAAAUCAUUAACAGCACACCAAACUUAAUUGAUGCUAACAAAAAUCUUAAUAAUACACUGAUAUUACACCUGACAGCUCUACGUCUGACAUCAAAGUAAAAAAAAAUAAAAAAGUUAUUUUGAGUUCUUAGGUUCAGUGGUAACCUUUUGAAAUUUAAAUGUAAAACACACCAAACUUAAUUGAUGCUACAAAAAUCUUAAUAAUACACUGAUAUUACACCUGACAGCUCUACGUCUGACAUCAGUAAAAAAAAUAAAAAAGUUAUUUUGAGUUCUUAGGUUCAGUGGUAACCUUUUGAAAUUUAAAUGUAAAACAAAAUAAUAAUAAAUAAUAAUAAUAAUAAACCAGAAAAGUUUAAUUUUCACUGAGUCUGGAUCAUCCACCAGGAACUUCGCACACAACAAAGAUCACCAUUUAAAAACAGCUGGAAUGCUGAGAGGAAAAGGUGACGAAGCAAAACCUGACUCACCUCCACCUGAGCGUCUCAGAGAUGUUACAUCACAUCAGACACACCGGAUAAGGAGCUGUUUCAAAAGUGUAAUGAAAUCCAUGCAAUUUGUCAUUGGAAUCUGAGUCUCCAUGCAAUUUGUCAUUGGAAUCUGAGUCAUGUGGCAGUUCUUCAACAGGUUUAGUGAGUCUGACACAGUGAGGUCAUCACAUUAAAUUUAGUAUAAAAACCCCCAUGCUCGUCCAUUUAGAACACAGCGGACAGUGGAAACAAACACUAGCCCAAAGCAAGACCUACAUCUACAACAGACAAAUCGUCUCUGAGAGAAAUGAAGGUGAAGAUGUUAGCCGUGUUGGCUCUGGUUCUUCUGGUGUCCAGUGCGAGUGAGGGACGAAUUCUCAGUAAAUGUGAGCUGAAGUCCCAACUCCAGGCUGCUCUGGGAGGAAAUCAGGGAGGAAAUGUGACUGGAGCUGUCACUAAUGGGCCUGGAAAUGUGACUACAAGUGUGCCUGUAGAUGCGACUGCAGUUGUGCCUGAAAAUGUGACUUCAAGUGUGCCUGGGAAUGUAACUGUGCCUGGAAAUGCAACUGCAAAUUUGACCCUCAUCGCCCAAAUCGUUUGUACUGUGGAGCGUGUGUCGAAGUUCAACACCGGCCUGGUCACCACCAUCCGAGAGGACUCCAGACCUCCAGUGAGACCCCCAGUGAGACCCCCUCUCAGACCACCACAACAACCCAAUGUAAGACCAGGGGGAAGACCCGGUCGUCCCGGUGGAAGACCAAGGGGAAAGAGAUCCCAUGUUGCAGCACAACUUGGGCGCCCAGCUAGACUGUCUGAUGACAGUUCCGAGAGUUCCGAGAGUUCCGAGGAGAAUUCCAGAGAAAGACCUGGUCUGACCACAAAACUGUUAGGAAUCUUCCAGCUGAGCGACCGCGUGGCCUGCGAUUCCGGAUCUGGCCAGAGUUUGAACAUCUGCCGCAUGAAAUGCAGCGCUCUGAUUGAUGAUGACAUCAGGGAUGACAUUGCAUGCCUUAAGACCCUGCUGGACAUGGCAAGCAUUGUUUCAUCCUUCGCUUCUCUGCCCCAGAAUAAGCCACGCUUUAUUCUUUCUUUGAAUGAGUGCCGCAACGUCAAUCCUGCGCAGUACUUCGCUGAGUGUCCCUGAAACAUUCAGCAUUUCUUCAGCGUACCUGGAAAAUGUUCUCAAAAUAGCCACAGUUAUGAAGCAUGUAUCUCAUACAUGCAUACGUCAGAAUGCAAAUAAAAAAUAUAUAUAAAAAAUACACUUGUCUAAGUCUUUCUUUCGUCUGUGUCUAG
rnacentral:lncRNA from 1 species